ACUUUGUAUGUGUACCUGCUGUAAAUAUAGACAAACAGCUAUAUGUAAGCUUUAGGUGCGCAAUCGGCUAGAUUAGAUUGCCCAUAAAGGACUUGCCCACAGUU